UAAAAUAUUUUUUAGUACAUUUAAGUCUUCAAAAUCUCGCCGCCGUUUCAAUCAAAAAUAAAAAUCUCACCGCCGCUAUUGUAAUCAGAUCUAAGCUGAUACAUUAAUGGCUACGGCCACUUCUAAUAUACGGUCCCCGUCGAUCAUACUCUUUGGAAAAGGGACAGUCCCCUAUCAGAGAACAGCGGCACCGUUUCAAAUUCCCCAAUUUCCUCUGAACCGCCCUCGUUUCACCGCUCUUUUCGCUUCCCUCCACGACGGGAAUAACAACGACGACGGAAGCAAUAAGGUCACGAAGGCUGUCGGUUUGGAGGAGCUUUUCGAGGAUUCCCCGUAUGACGUUGUUUCAAAAGACUCCCCUUUUCAUCCCAGGCCACUUUCUUCAACCCAGCUCCCUAAUUCAGUCUCUGCUGGCUCUCGCCUUCGCGUUGCGUAUCAGGGAGUUCGUGGCGCCUACAGUGAAGCAGCUGCUGAGAAGGCCUAUCCGAAUUGUGAAGCUGUUCCUUGUGAUCAAUUUGAUGCUGCUUUUGAAGCUGUAGAAAAGUGGAUAGUGGAUAGAGCAGUAUUACCGAUCGAGAAUUCCUUAGGUGGUAGUAUUCAUCGGAAUUAUGACCUCUUGCUUCGCCAUAGCUUGCACAUUGUCGGGGAGGUUAAGCUUGCAGUUCGUCAUUGCUUACUAGCCAAUCAUGGUGUUAGAGUCGAGGACUUACAAAGGGUUCUUAGUCAUCCUCAGGCUCUAGCUCAGUGCGAGAACACAUUAACAAAGUUAGGCUUGAGCAGAGAAGCAACUGAUGAUACUGCUCUUGCAGCAAAGUACGUGGCUUUCAACAAACUAAAAGAUACGGGAGCUGUUGCAAGUUCUUCAGCUGCAAAGAUAUACGGACUGAACAUUCUUGCUGAAGAUGUUCAGGAUGAUUGUGAUAAUGUUACUCGAUUUCUCAUGCUGGCCAGGGAACCCAUUAUUCCUGGUGUGGAGAAGCCAUUCAAGACAAGUAUAGUUUUCUCACUAGAGGAGGGUCCUGGUGUUCUUUUCAAGGCACUUGCUGUUUUUGCUCUUCGGCAGAUCAACCUUACAAAGAUUGAAAGCCGUCCCUUGAGGAACCAGCCGUUGAGAGCAUCUGAUGAUAGCAACAAUGGUUCAAAAUAUUUUGACUACCUUUUCUAUGUGGACUUCGAAGCAUCCAUGGCCGAAGAGAGAGCACAGAAUGCUCUAAGACAUCUAAAGGAGUUUGCCACUUUCUUGCGAGUUCUAGGGAGCUAUCCAGUGGAUACUACCAUGUUGUAAACAAGUUGUGGAUCAUGGUAUGUAUUCAAUGUUUGAACAAAUAUUGAGGGUAGAUUGAUGAUAACAUCUUUACAAUGAUUUGGUGGCAGAAUGUUGCUAGAUCAUUAUCUUUAGUAGAAUUUUGUAUAAUAUUUUCAAAUUAAUUUUCAGAGCUUUAAUAGCAUGCUGACCAAAAUGAGGUUGUUUGGACUGAUGUCAUUGGUGAUUUAAUAGGAGUAAAACAACUUUUUCUCUCUUAGAAGUUAAGGAAGAUUAUCAUUUUAUCAUGUCAAUCUGUUCUAGCUCCUUCAUGAAUUUUUUUAUUGCUGAAGUGAGUAACCUGAGACAUGAUCACUAAUUCAUUGACUCUUGUCUGCAAUAUUGUUCUAUAAUAAGAAUUAUUCUUUUUAAGUGGUGGGUAGCCUUGAGAAAGAACACGAGGAACUAGCGUUCUGAAUUGGUCUUUUUUUUCUUUCUUAUAAUGUUGGGACUGUAAGUUGUGUAAUGGUGGUCGGUGGGUGCUUGAUAUUUCACAGUUUUACGUAAGGGUGCUAUUUCUAGUAUGAAUGGUGAUUAUACAGUUAUAAUCCUUUGAGAGAUGGUCUCAUGGAAGAUUGUUGUUGGGUCUCUAAGAAUGUAGGCAUAUUAUCAGAGACUUCUAUCCUUUUUCUGAUGGCUAGUACAAGCAAUUCUGUUGUAUGUCCUUGUUACUAUUGGAUGAGCAUAAAGGUUGGAUCCACACGACAAUAAAAGCUGCUAGCAACCUUGUCUGGUUGAGUUAUGGUUAUGGCCACAAUAAAUGCUUUUUAUUGCAUUCCAACUAGCCUCGACAAUAAUGCAGUUGGUAUUCUAUUGCAAAUAAUUUUCCCAAUAUUUUACUCACGAUACUACAUAGAAGGUGGAGUUAUUAUGUUGAGAGAAAGGUUUUAUCAGUUGAUAGCCAAGCCAACCAGAAGGCCCACUGCACUGCGCUAUGGAGGGAUGCUGACAAAUAUGGCUUUGGCUCUAUGACACCCUGUAAUUAAGCGUAAGUAAUUUUUUGUUUUUACAAGCAGGUGGUGUCUUCUUUUAAAAAUUUUCCACGGAAGUUUUCUUUUAAAUUACUUUUAAACUGGUCAUGCUUAUUUCUGAUUUUUUUUUAUUAUAGAUUUGACAAUUUUGAAUAUAAAUUUAUGACACGACACAUUUGAUAAACAUAAAAAAUAGUGAACAUCUUAAAUGCCA